UACGGGGGGGGGCAAGCGUUGUUCGGAAUUACUGGGCGUAAAGGGCUCGUAGGCGGCCAACUAAGUCAGACGUGAAAUCCCUCGGCUUAACCGGGGAACUGCGUCUGAUACUGGAUGGCUUGAGUUUGGGAGAGGGAUGCGGAAUUCCAGGUGUAGCGGUGAAAUGCGUAGAGAUCCGGAGGAACACCGAAGGCGAAGGCAGUGUCCUGGCGCGUAACUGACGCUGAGGUGCGAAAGCCAGGGGAGCGAACGGG
rnacentral:rRNA from 1 species